rnacentral:rRNA from 1 species
UAAUCGCAUGGGCUUGAACCGGAGACGUGUCUUUCAAGUAUCUGCCUUAUCAACUUUCGAUGGUAGUUUAUGUGACUACCAUGGUUGUAACGGGUAACGGAGAAUAAGGGUUCGACUCCGGAGAGGGAGCCUGAGAAACGGCUACCACAUCCAAGGAAGGCAGCAGGCGCGCAAAUUACCCACUCUCGGCGCGAGGAGGUAGUGACGAAAAAUAACGAGACCGUUCUCUAUGAGGCCGGUUAUCGGAAUGGGUACAAUUUAAACCCUUUAACGAGGAUCUAUGAGAGGGCAAGUCUGGUCGGAGCAGCCGCGGUAAUUCCAGCUCUCAAAGUGUAUAUAGUCAUUGCUGCGGUUAAAAAGCUCGUAGUUGGAUCUGCGCCUCAGGACUUGGUCCGCUCACUGGGCGUGAACUGAGCUCCUAGGCUAGAACUGCUGGUUUUCCCUUCGUGGCCUUGACUGGUUGCGUUGGGUGGCUAGCGAGUUUACUUUGAAAAAAUUAGAGUGCUCAAAACAGGCUCUGCCUGAAUAUUCGUGCAUGGAAUAAUGGAAUAGGACUUCGGUUCUAUUUUGUUGGAAAACUGAACGGAGGUAAUGGAAUUGAGGGACAGACGGGGGCAUUCGUAUCGCUGCGUGAGAGGUGAAAUUCUUGGACCGCAGCGAGACGCCCUACUGCGAAAGCAUUUGCCAAGAAUGUCUUCAUUAAUCAAGAACGAAAGUCAGAGGUUCGAAGGCGAUCAGAUACCGGGGUAGUUCUGACCGUAAACGAUGCCAACUAGCGAUCCGCCGGUGGUAAUUACGCCCUGGCGGGGAGCUUCCCGGAAACGAAAGUCUUCCGGUUCCGGGGGAAGUAUGGUUGCAAAGCUGAAACUUAAAGGAAUUGACGGAAGGGCACCACCAGGAGUGGAGCCUGCGGCUUAAUUUGACUCAACACGGGAAAACUCACCCGGCCAGGACAGUGUAAGGAUUGACAGAUUGAGAGC